rnacentral:tRNA from 1 species
GGAGGAUUGGCUGAGUGGUCGAAAGCGGCGGUUUUGAAAACCGUUGAGCGCGAGCUCCGCAGGUUCGAAUCCUGUGUCCUCCG